rnacentral:rRNA from 1 species
GACGAACGCUGGCGGCGUGCUUAACACAUGCAAGUGGAACGGAAAGGCCCUGCUUUUGUGGGGUGCUCGAGUGGCGAACGGGUGAGUAACACGUGAGUAACCUGCCCUUGACUUUGGGAUAACUUCAGGAAACUGGGGCUAAUACCGGAUAGGAGCUCCUGCUGCAUGGUGGGGGUUGGAAAGUUUCGGCGGUUGGGGAUGGACUCGCGGCUUAUCAGCUUGUUGGUGGGGUAGUGGCUUACCAAGGCUUUGACGGGUAGCCGGCCUGAGAGGGUGACCGGCCACAUUGGGACUGAGAUACGGCCCAGACUCCUACAGGAGGCAGCAGUGGGGAAUAUUGCACAAUGGGCGGAAGCCUGAUGCAGCAACGCCGCGUGCGGGAUGACGGCCUUCGGGUUGUAAACCGCUUUCGCCUGUGACGAAGCGUGAGUGACGGUAAUGGGUAAAGAAGCACCGGCUAACUACGUG